AGUCGAGCGGAGCGAGGGUGCUUGCACCUUAGCUUAGCGGCGGACGGGUGAGUAAUGCUUAGGAAUCUGCCUAUUAGUGGGGGACAACGUUUCGAAAGGAACGCUAAUACCGCAUACGUCCUACGGGAGAAAGCAGGGGAUCUUCGGACCUUGUGCUAAUAGAUGAGCCUAAGUCGGAUUAGCUAGUUGGUGGGGUAAAGGCCUACCAAGGCGACGAUCUGUAGCGGGUCUGAGAGGAUGAUCCGCCACACUGGGACUGAGACACGGCCCAGACUCCUACGGAAGGCAGCAGUGGGGAAUAUUGGACAAUGGGCGAAAGCCUGAUCCAGCCAUGCCGCGUGUGUGAAGAAGGCCUUUUGGUUGUAAAGCACUUUUAAGCGAGGAGGAGGAGCUUCAGGUUAAAUACCCCUGGAUGCUUGGACGUUACUCGCAGAAUAAGCACCGGCUAACUCUGUGUCAGCAG
rnacentral:rRNA from 1 species